GGUGAACGCUGGCGGCGUGCCUAAUACAUGCAAGUCGAGCGGACGGACGAGAAGCUUGCUCUUCUGCUGUUAGCGGCGGACGGGCGGGUAACGAGUGGAUAACCUUCCUCUAAGACUGGGAUAACUUCGGGAGACCGGAGCUAAUACUGGAUAAUAUUUUCAACCGCAUGGUUCAAAAGUUAAAGACGCUUUUGCUGUCACUUAUAGAUGGAUCCGCGCUGGAUUAGCUAGUUGGUAAGGUAACGGCUUACCAAGGCAACGAUGCGUAGCCGACCUGAGAGGGUGAUCAGCCACACUGGAACUGAGACACGGUCCAGACUCCUACGGGAGGCAGCAGUAGGGAAUCUUCCACAAUGGGCGAAAGCCUGACGGAGCAACGCCGCGUGAGUGAUGAAGGUCUUCGGAUCGUAAAGCUCUGUUAUUAGGGAAGAACAGAUGUGUAAGUAACUGUGCACAUCUUGACGGUACCUAAUCAGAAAGCCACGGCUAACUACGUG
rnacentral:rRNA from 1 species